rnacentral:rRNA from 1 species
UACGGGGGGAGCAAGCGUUGUUCGGAUUUACUGGGCGUAAAGGGCGCGUAGGCGGCCACCGCAAGUCGACUGUGAAAUCUCCGGGCUUAACCCGGAAAGGUCAGCCGAUACUGCGGGGCUAGAGUGCAGAAGGGGCAACUGGAAUUCUCGGUGUAGCGGUGAAAUGCGUAGAUAUCGAGAGGAACACCUGAGGUGAAGACGGGUUGCUGGGCCGACACUGACGCUGAUGCGCGAAAGCCAGGGGAGCAAACGGG